AAACGUAGGGUGCGAGCGUUAUCCGGAUUUAUUGGGCGUAAAGGGCACGCAGGCGGUUCUGCAAGUCGGACGUGAAAGCCUCUGGCUCAACUGGGGGAGGUCGUUCGAGACUGCGGGGCUUGAGGUCGGGAGAGGGGUGUGGAAUUCCCGGUGUAGUGGUGGAAUGCGUAGAGAUCGGGAGGAACACCAGUGGCGAAAGCGGCACCCUGGCCCGCACCUGACGCUGAGGUGCGAAAGCGUGGGGAGCGAACGGGAUUAGAUGCCCCGGUAGUCCACGCUGUAAACGAUGGCGACUGGGUGUGGGUGGUAUGAAACCCAUCCGUGCCGAAGCGAACGCGUUAAGUCGCCCGCCUGGGGAGUACGGUUGCAAGGCUAAA
rnacentral:rRNA from 1 species